GGUCAAGUCAUCAUGGCCCUUAUGGAUUGGGCUACACACGUGCUACAAUGGGAAGUACAGAGGGAUGCGAAAGCGCGAGCUGGAGCCAAACCCUUAAAACUUUUCUUAGUCCGGAUUGGAGUCUGCAACUCGACUCCAUGAAGUUGGAAUCACUAGUAAUCGCGAAUCAGAAUGUCGCGGUGAAUACGUUCUCGGGCCUU
rnacentral:rRNA from 1 species